UGGGGGGAUCAUGAGGUCAGGAGAUCGAGACCAUCCUGGCUAACACGGCGAAACCCCAUCUCUACUAAAAAUACAAAAAAUUAGCCGGGCGUGGUGGCGGGCGCCUGUAGUCCCAGCUACUCGGGAGGCUGAGGCAGGAGAAUGGCGUGAACCCGGGAGGUGGAGUUUGCAGUAAGCCGAGACUGCGUCACUGCACUCCAGCCUGGGUGACAGAGCGAGACUCCGUAUAAAAAAAAAAAAAAAAAUUGUAAAUGGUUAAUUCUAUGUUGUGUGAAUUUCGCCUCAAUAUUUAAAAUGAAAAAGAAAAAAGUCAAUAGAUGUGACUUAGCUGGGUUAUAUUUGAGGUGUCUAGACAUCCAAGUGGAGCUGUCAGGUAGGCAGUUGUAAAACACAACAGGAGUGACCAGUUUUACCAGCUCUUAUGGAAAUAGCUGCUUCCUGCCAUUCCCCACCCAGCCCACUGCAUGCACUGUUGCGGCCCAGAGGUGGGCGUGAGGUCUCUGCUGCCACUCAUCCUCAUCCACAGCCAGCCACGCUGCAGAGCCACCCAGCCAGAGACGCCUACUCUGGUCUCCAGCUAGGAUGUUGAGGACCUGUUUCGAAUGUCUUGGAAGAAGUCCUGGAAUCCUCCCAGCCCCCAGGUUCCGGGAUACAUGUGCAGAAUGUGCAGAGUUUCACUCUGGCUCCUAGGCUGGAAAGCAGUGGCACCAUCUCAGCUCUCUGCAACCUCCACUUCCCAGGUUCAAGCGAUUCUCCUGCCUCAGCCUCCCGAGUAGCUGGGACUACAGGCGAGCACCACCACAGCCGGCUAAUUUUUCUAUUUCUAGUAGAAAUGGGGUUUCACCAUGUUGGCAGGCUGGUCUCGAACUCUGACCUCAAGUGAUCUGCCUGCCUCAGCCUCUGAAAGUGCUGGAUUGCAGGCGUGAGCCACCGCACCAGGCCUAAACAGAUUUCUUUACAAUCUACCACCAUGAACAGCAAGCAUUAGCAUUGGUGAGGAGUGUUCCAGAAUCCCUCUGCUCUCUGCCUCUCCAUUUCUCUCCCCCUCUCUUUCUCUCUCAUGCACACACACUCACACACACACACACACACACACACACACGGAAUGACAGGACAGACUGAUCGGCAGAUUGGAUGAAUGGAUGGAUGGGCACAUAGAUUGAGGGACUCCCAGAGAUAAACUAACACCAUUUUAUAAAAAUGGGAUCGUAUUCUACGUGAUUGAAAUGUAAACUUUUAAUUUUACUUAAAUUUUAGUUCAGCUCAGAUGUUGCUGGCAAAAGUUUUUUUUUAUUAUUUUUAUUUUUUAUGUACUGCUCCUUGAGGAACUGGGCUAACUCAUAGGCAGUGCAUCCAGAUUCGGCAUUUUUUUUUUUUUUAGACACAGUCUCGCACUGUCACCCUGGCUGGAGUGCAAUGGCACAAUCUCGGCUCACUGCAACCUCUGCCUCCCAGGUUCAAGUGAUUCUCCUGCCUCAGCUUCCCAAGUAGCUGGGAUUACAGGCACACACCACCACACCUGGCUAAUUUUUUGUAUUUUAGUACAGAUGGGGUUUCACUAUGUUGGCCAGACUGGUCUUGAACUCCUGACCUUGUGAUCUGCACACCUCGGCCUCCCAAAGUGCUGGGAUUACAGGCGUGAGCCAUCGCGCCCAGCCAAAAAAUAUUUUUUAAUUGUUAAAAAUAAUAAUGGAAUGCCAAAUGUAGUAGAACAGUUUCACAAUGACAAGAACUAUUAGUUCCUAAAAAAUCCCCAAGAUUCAGAUAAGAGAUUACAAAAACCUUGAUAAAUUAGUGACAUUAUGUAAAAUCAACAGUGCUGGGUUUGGUGGCUCAGACCUGUAAUCAUUGCACUUAGGGAGGCAGAGGCGGGAGGAGUGCUUGAGCCCAGGAGUUUGAGAGCCUGGCCAACAUAGCAAGACCCCAUUCUCUACAAAACGGAAAAUAAAAUAAAAUAAAAUCA